rnacentral:rRNA from 1 species
UACGGAGGGUGCAAGCGUUAUCCGGAUUCACUGGGUUUAAAGGGUGCGUAGGUGGGUUGGUAAGUCAGUGGUGAAAUCCCCGAGCUUAACUUGGGAACUGCCAUUGAUACUAUCAGUCUUGAAUACCGUGGAGGUCAGCGGAAUAUGUCAUGUAGCGGUGAAAUGCGUAGAGAUCCGGAAGAACACCGGUGGCGAAGGCGGCCUGCUGGGCAGUAGCUGACACUGAGGCGCGACAGCGUGGGGAGCAAACAGG